GGGAUUCGAGUAUGGUUGUGUAUGUGUCAUUGUCUUUGAUAAGGUAGGAAUUCUU
rnacentral:tRNA from 1 species